rnacentral:lncRNA from 1 species
AAGUUUGAUUUUGGUCAACAUUUUGAGUAAACGAUCAUAAAAUCGGAAUUUGACGGUUCCAAUAGGUUCGUAUGAUAAUUUCGGACUUGAGCGUAUGUUCGGAUCGAAUUUUGGAUGAUCCGGGAGCGCAGAGCCUAAUAAUGAAAGUUGGCAUUUUGAGCAAAUUCAAUAAGUUUGGGUUGAAAUGGAUUGUUACAUUCUAGACGUCUGUUUGGGAUUCCGAGCCUGGGAAUAGCUUCAUAUGAUGAUUCUGAACUUAGAAGCACGUCCAGAAGUAGAUUUGGAGGUCUGUAGGUCGUUUCGAAGUCAUUUGGAAAAAAUUAAAAACUUGAAGUUUUUAGAAAGUUUGACCAAGGGUGGACUUUUUAUAUCGGGUUCGAAUUUCAGUUUCGGAAGUUGGAGUAGGUCCAUAAUGUCAUUUAAGACUUGCACGCAAAAUUUAGCAUCAUUCCGAGUUGGUUUGAUAGGAAUCAGAUGCGCGGAAGUAUUUUUAGAAGUUUUUGAGUUCAUGAGUAAAUUCAUGCAUUUUGGCGUCCAAUUCGUGGUUUUUGAUGUUAUUUCAGUGCUUCGAUCGCACGAGCAAGUUUCUAUGAUAUUUUUAGACUUGUGUGGGUGUUUAGUGUGGAUCCCCGAGGGCUCGGGUGAGUUUCAAACGUUUGGAAAUGAUGAAACACACACCAGAUUUCUAGUUUUUCUUGGCAUCAGUCGCUGGUCUCGCAAAUGCUAACCUCGCAUUUGCAAGAAGAGCUUCACAAUUGCGAAGAAGCUCGACUGGGCCAUUUUUUGCAUUUGCAACACGUGAGCCGCAUUUGCAACCUCAAAAGUGAUCGCAUUUGUGACCCCUCCGUCGCAUUUGCAACCUUAGCAGCUGAAGUCAGGCUUCGCAUUUGCGAGAGUUUUGUCGCAUUUGUGACCCUCGCAUUUACGAACCUGCUGUCGCAAAUGCGACAUCAGAGGCCUGUGCCCUGCUCAUUUAAUGCCGGACUUAGGCCAUUUAUUUCAUUUCAGUUCAUCUCUUGGGCGAUUUUUGGAGCUUUUGGAAGAGGGUUUUCAGUUUGCACUUUGAGGUAAGUAAUUUCUACACAACAUGAGUUAAAUACAUAGAUUAUGGGUAGAUUAACUUGUAAAAAUUAGUGAAAAUCAAGGGUUUAGAUGAAUACUUAGGUUUUUGAUAAAAAUGAGAUUUGAACACGAAAUUGGUUAUGGAACUUAGUAAAAAUCAUAUAUUUAUGUUCCUAAGGUUAUGGGUAACAACUUUCUUCAAAAAUAUCCGGAAUCUGGGCACGUGGGCCUAGGGGUAAAUUUUAGGAAUCUUGAAUUUAGAGUUGGGUAAUCACUUUAAUAAUGGGGAUAUGAACUUUUGAGCACAAAUUGAUUAAUUUAUAUAAUAUUUGACUAGUUUCGAGUUGUUUGACACCAAAUUUGGAGGUUUGAGUACCUUUUUGAACCGGGAAGUAGGCUUUGAGACGAGGUAAGUCUCUUUUCUAACCUUGUAAGAGAGAGUUUACCCCAUAGGUGAACUUAAUUAAUAUGUGUUAUGAAUUGUGGGGGCUACGUACGCACGAAGUGACGAGAGUCCGUACGUAGAUACUAUUCCUAUUUAUGUCCGGGUAGUUUUAGGUUUACACCAUGCUUUGUGGAUACCGUUAUUUGAUUAUAAUUGUUAAUUGUAACGAGUGAAACUAAGUAGAGGAUUUUUAAGAAUUUAAAAGCUUCAAGUUAAAUUGUCUUUAUUUUGAAAAGAAUCAAGAAAGGGUUGUAAUUUAUUGAUAAAUUUAUAUUUGACCGCGUCGCAAGUAUAUUCCGCGAGCGGGGUGAUUCUUUCCACUAUUUUCAUGGGAGCGGGUCAUUCGCCUUGGAAGGUUAAUAGAUAUAUCUAUGGUUCGUGCCGUUCGACCCUCGGCAGUGCACAAUUUAUAUUUAUGUUGGAUUGGGUCAUACGUCCAUGGUAGAAUUCGUGCGUGAUAAUAGAACUGGAAGUACCUUUCAUAAUUGGUAUUAAUUUAUUGAUUGAGAGAUCAUUUGUUUUAAAUGAAGGAAGUGAUUUGGGUUCCUAAACAUGGUGAAAGAAUUGUUCAGUUAUUUCUUGUUCUGAGUUUUUAUUGUUAUCUCUAUAUAUCAUGCUUAAUUAGAAUUUCAUAUUAUCAUAUUGUUGGCCCUUAGUAAGUGUUGGAGUCGAUCCCUCGUCACUACUUAUUCGAGGUUAGACUAGAUACUUACUGGGUACAUAUUAUUUAUGUACUCACGCUACACUUCUGUACUUAAUUGUACAUGAUCUAAGGCAUGUGCAUCUGGUUACCAGUCCGGCGCGCAAAUUUGAUCCCCAUUUCGAGACUUCACGGUGAGCUGCCUUCCAAGCCGUUCUGCAGCAGCUGGAGUCUCCCUUAUGUUAUAUUUUUCUAUCUGUUUCCUUUCAGACAGUAGACUAGUAUUCUUUUGUAUAUUCUACUAGAAUGCUCACACACUUGUGACACCAGGUCUUGGCACACACACACUAGUAAACUUAUGAUUUUGGAUUUGCUUUCAUGAUUAUGAUUUGUACUCAUUUGUUUCCGUUAGUUUAUAUUACAUUUGCAAAUUUCUAAAUCUUUUUAACAAAUGAGGAAAUGUCAUCCACUUAGUAAUUUAUUCAAAAACGGGAAACCACUAGUUUGAUCAGUGUUGGCUUGCCUAACAAUGAUGUUGGGUACCAUCGCGGCCUAUAAUGGACUUGGGUCAUUACACCAUGACUAUUGUUCAUUAGUUUAUUUUUUAUGGCACCCGAAUUCAAGCAUAUGGCGUGGACUAUAGCACACGAAAAUUUAAAAAUCGGCACGAAUUCCAGUUUUUGGCCCUAAAAUGCCAAAAAAUGAGGAACGGUCUUGCCGAAGCCAUUAUUGUAAUUCAUUAAUCAUUUUUGAUGGCCCCGCAAAAUUUUAGACGAUUCGUAUCCAAUAGCCCCGAUUCAUGCAAAUAGCGAAAUAUAGCACACGAAAAUUUAGAAAUCGACCCGAAUUUCAGUUUUCUGGCCGUAAAAUACCGAAAAAAAGGAAUGGUCAAGUUGAAGCCAUAACUAUUUUUCAUUAGGUUAUUUAUUAUGGCCCCGAAAAAUAUUAGGCGAUUCAGAUUUGGAAGCCCGAAUUCAUGGAGAUGUGAACUAUAGCACAUGAAAAUUUGGAAAUUGAACAAAAUUCUAAUUUUUUUUGCCUAAAAUGCCAAAAAACAAGGAACGGUCAUGUUGAAGACAUGAUUAUUGUUCAUUAUGUCCUUUUUGAUUCCCGGAUUCAUGUAGAUGGCAUGUACUGGAAUUUCGCCUGCUUCUCAGAUUUUCGUGUGCUAUAGUCCACACCUCCUACAUGGACCAGGGCGACCAGAUCUGAAUCACCUAAAAAUUUUCCAACCCAUCAAAUAUGGACUAAGGAACAAUAACCACAACCUCGCCAUGACCGUUACUCGCUUUUUGGUAUUUUAGGGCCAUAAAACUGGAAUUCUGCUCGACCUAGAUUUUCGUAUGCUAUAGCCCACACCUCCUACAUGGGGCAGAGCAACCGGACCCAGAUCGCCGAACUUUUUGGCCCAUAAAAAAUGACCUAAGGAACAAUAGUCACCGCCUCGCCAUGACCGUUACUCAUUUCUUGGCGUCUUAGGGCCAUAAAAUUGAAAUUUUGCCAGAUUUCUAGAUUUUCAUGUGCUAUAGUCCAUGCCUCAUGCACAGGCUCGGACGACCAUAUCCGGAUCACCUAAAGUUUUUUUGGCCCAUCAAAGAUGACCUUAGGAACAAUAGUAACUGCCUCGCCAUAACCGUUACUCAUUUCUUGGUGUUUUAGGGCCAUAAAACUGGAAUUUCAUCUGAUUUCCAGAUUUUCGUGUGUUAUAGCCCACGCCUCCUACUUGUGUAAAAGCGUCCCGACCCGGAUAGCCUAAAAUUUUGCCAGCCUAUCAAAUACGACCUAAGGAACAUUAUUCACCACCUCGUCUAGACCGUUACUCAUUUUUUUGGCGGUUUAGGGCUAUAACAUUGGAAUUUCGCCCGAUUCCUAGAUUAGUCGUAUGCUAUAGCCCACACCUCUUGCAUGAACCAGGGCGACUGGACCCGGAUCGCCAAAAUUUUUUCCGGCCCAUCAAAAACGAUCUAAGGAAUUUUAGUCACUGCCUCGCCAUGAUCGUUACUCACUUUUUGGCAUUUUAGGGCCACAAAAUUAGAAUUCCGCCUGAUUCACAUAUUUUUGUAUGCUACAGCCCAAGCCUCCUACAUGGACUGGGAUGACCAGACCAGAUAGCCUAAAAUUUUAUCGGUCUAUAAGAAAUAACCUAAAGAAUUAUCAUCGUCUCGCCAGGCCCGCUGUCACACCUCCUUUUUACGCACCCGCGAGGGGAGAAGGGAGUUUUUCCAAUUAAAGGACAAUCGAAACGGGAUUUAUUUAUUUAUUUAUUUCAGAGUCACCACUUGGGAGAUUUAGGGUGUCCCAAGUCACCAAUUUUAAUCCCGAAUCAAGGAAAAGGAUGACUCCAUAUUACAGUCUGGUACCAGAAAUCCGGAUAAGGAAUUCUGUUAACCCGGGAGAAGGUGUUAGGCAUUCCCGAGUUCCGUGGUUCUAGCACGGUCGCUCAACUGUUAUAUUCGGUUUGAUUAUCUGAUUUUAUACAAAUAUGAACUUAUGUGCUAAUUUUAACUCCUGGCCGCUUUUAUUAUUAUUUUUUACGAGAAUUGCAACGUCGUGAAAAUAUAUCUAGAACCACGUUACAUCAAUGCACCCGUGAUUAUUGACAUAUCUCGACUCGGUUGAGAUUUGGAUUUGGGUCACAUAAAUGUGCACCCGAAUUAAGAAAAAUAAAUUAUUAAGACGCGCCUAAAGCAACUAACGUAGUGUUAUUUUGGGGAAGGCCGCAAAAUUCGCUAAACGGCCUGUCCCGAAUUCUAAGUAUUUUAAUAUAUAUAUACAUUCAGAGGGCCCACAGCUUUGUACAUUUUUGUUCGUCGAGGCUCGUCUCAUUCUUAUUUUUNNNNNNNNNNNNNNNNNNNNNNNNNNNNNNNNNNNNNNNNNNNNNNNNNNNNNNNNNNNNNNNNNNNNNNNNNNNNNNNNNNNNNNNNNNNNNNNNNNNNNNNNNNNNNNNNNNNNNNNNNNNNNNNNNNNNNNNNNNNNNNNNNNNNNNNNNNNNNNNNNNNNNNNNNNNNNNNNNNNNNNNNNNNNNNNNNNNNNNNNNNNNNNNNNNNNNNNNNNNNNNNNNNNNNNNNNNNNNNNNNNNNNNNNNNNNNNNNNNNNNNNNNNNNNNNNNNNNNNNNNNNNNNNNNNNNNNNNNNNNNNNNNNNNNNNNNNNNNNNCCGAUGCGGGCCUGCUUGGUCUGUUUCGACCUGGGCUCGACCCCCGUGAGGUUGAGGCUGUGAACUUGUUCUUUGUUCUAAAGGCGCGGUUUAUCAGUUAUAACGGGAUAAUUCAUUAAUGGGAAAAGCAGUUAACUAAUGAUGAAUAGUUUUCGUGCGUUACUGGACAUGCUAAUCACAAACACAACUAAUUUCUGAGCUACAUCCUACUACAUGGUCGAAAUUUUUUAUCCAACAGCCUACACACACAAUUCGAUGUCAAGUUACCCUACAUUGACAAUUGCUAUGUGUGAAAGCUAACUCAGUAUCCGAGCCAAAAUGUAAACUAUCAUACAUCACAUAACGUUCAAUGUACAGGCUAUACAUAAAAUAAACGAUCUUCAACUCUUCUCUUUGUAUUCAUACUCAACUUCAUAUUACAUUGACAGUAUUAGUCGUGUACCUGGAUGUUUGAACAAUAAAGAGGAGAAGAAGAAAGAUGUCAGCAACAGGCAACCAAGCAGUAACAACACAGCAACAACAACCAACAACAAUAACCAGCCACAAUUAUGAAGCCCACAAGUGAUAGAGCACCAAGCAGAAAAUCCCAGACAGAGUAGAAAACAACCGAGAAAACCAGAAUGUUCAAGGCAAUAGCAACAUCAAUCCAAUGAUCACAAACAGCUUGGCAAAUAACCAACAACAAUUGGCCAAGACAGCUUGACCAACUUGAACUCUUAUGUAAUUUUCAGACAGUGUUUGGUUACAAUAUUCUGAGACUUUAUGUUUCUUGUUUUCUCUGAAGACUAAAAAAUGUCCCCCCCUUUUAUGUUCUGAAACAGCUCUAUUUAUAGGCAGAAAUGGCAAGCACUCAGCUGCCCUGAACCCCUCCCCUCUUUCCUGCCCAUAACUUCCUUUCUAAACUAAUCAAAAUAUUCCCCAUACCCAUCCAUUCGACAAGCUUUUAGCCUGUAUUUUCUGCCCAACAACAUGGGCACCCCCUUUUUAUUCAAUCAGCCCCAUGCCACAAAGUUUGGCUCCCCACUAUUACCUUAUUUAAUCCUAAUCCAAUACCCUAUUUGUCAGCUCAUUUAAACUAAUCAUUUCUGUUCUUUUUAACACCCAAAUUACCCCUGUUAAUCCCUGGUUAUCACUGUCUUGACCCUUUGCAACAGUAGGGCAUUUUUGAACUUCUGAAAGUUCAGAUUCAGAGCUGUCCUGGACUGAAUCUUUUCAGUCGUUUUGCAAUGCAAACAAACCAAUUUCAAACAAUGUCGGGCAUUCAGUCAAUGACAGGGUUCAAUCAGUCAUGUGAAGUUAUUAGUCCAUUUGAUCCUUUAGUCAUAGAAAAUUAAUCGACGACGUUUAUCAGGUCGACUAUACUAAUUAUAACCAGAUAUAACAAGUCGAUUAAAUAAACAAUACGUACGGGGUCCUAAAUAACUUCAGCUAACUUUGCACAAUACUGGGAGGCCAUACGAAUUAUUUAUAUGACGACUAAUCUAAUCGAACAUGGAUAUCACAGAAUGCAUUCAGACAUGCGCAGAAACAAUCGACCAAAUAAAAGGCCUUACAAAGAUGGAAGAAAUCAGAAUGAAAAAUACCAGAAAUACAAAACAAUCAUAACAGGUCAUGCUAACAAACUCAAUUGGUGUUCAAAUAAAACAGAAACAAAAAAGGAAAACUUACUAAAAAUGUUCAAACCAAGCCGACCCAAGUCUGAAUUAGAUUUGACCAUUUGAGGCCAAACAAACUUUAACCGGGAUGUUCUCAACCGAGAACACCUUGAUUAAGGUCUAUUAGACCUCAAGCCCCUAUUAAAACUGGCCGGAUUCCCCAGGCUCUGGUGUUCUAGGGUUUGGAUCUUUAGAUUUGAGAUUCUAGAAGUUGUGGGUAGAUUCGGACCAAACCAAGCUUGGUUUGGUCACGAGGGAAGUCAGGGGGCUGUCUGGUGUGAAUCUGGUGUGGUUUGGUGUAGGUCAGAGUUCGACUCGAAUCUUCAAAUGAAGAUUCGAGAAACUAGGGACUGAUUCGAAGCACAAGGAUAUCAGAUCCAUGUUCAGGGCAGUGGGGUGGUCCUAGGGUGUUAAGGAGGUGGUCACCGGCGUCCAUGUUGUCGGCUUUACGGUGAAGGUGUAUAGGGGCGGCUAGGGUUUCAUAGGGUUCAGGGUUUGGUGAAGAAGAUGAGUGAAGGGGGGUUAGGAUAGGGGGCGGGGUAGCAAGGUUAGGCCUUAUAUAUGCUUUAGAGUUUUAGAUCCUGGCCGUUGGAUCAAGGGAGAUCUAUGGCCAGGAUCUAUUCUUUAGGUAGGACGUCGUCGUUUAGGUGGGAAGGUAGUUAAAACCGGGUAGGGAAAUGGGUCGGAUUAAAUUAACGGGUCUAAAGGGCGGGCCUCGAUCCGUUGGAUCAAAGGGAUUGGACGGCUCAGAUCAAACGCCUUGAACGGCGUCGUUAUGGUUAAAUGGGCGAUCUGAUCAAGACCGUUCAUUUAAAUCAUAUCAAUGGCUCUAAUAGGGAUGCUGAUACGGCAUCGUUUGAGUCAGUGCUUGGGCAGGCCUGGCUUGGACUGGGUCUUGCAUUGGCUUUGGGCCUCAUUUGGGGCCCAAUCCGAUUUCUUCACUUCUUUUUUUUUUCUUUUCUUUUUUUCUGAUUUUAAAAUACAACUAAAUUAAACUGAAUUUAAAACACUCAUUAAUCAACACCUAAACAAUUAUCACACACAUAUUAAAAUUUUAAAAAUGGUUAAAUCAUAGCCUAGAAUAAAAGCUGCAUAUUUUUGUGAAUUUUCUUUUAAAGACCGAAUUAUGGCCCGAUUACACACGGCAUACUUAUUUUGUAUUUUUGUUGGAGAAGAUUCAAUGAAAAAUGGAUAGAAACACAAAGGACUACCAGCACAUGUCACGUAAAAAUUGAAAAUUUGUAUGGCGAGGCCAUUUGCAAUUAUUUUGAUUUCUUUUGGAGUGAUUGUUCGUGAAGCAAAAAUCACGUGCUUACACCCGUUACUCGUUUUUUGGCAUUUUAAGGUCAUAAAACUUGAAUUCCGCCCGAUUCCCAGAUUUUCGUAUGCUAUAACCCACACCUCCUACAUGGGCCGGGGCGAUCGGUCCCCGAUCGCCUAAAACUUUGCUAGCCCAUCAAAAAUGACCUAAGAAAAAAUAGCCACCGCCCACCACAACUGUUACUCGUUUUUUAGCAUUCUAGGGUCGUAAAACUGGAAUUUUGCAUGAUUCCCAAAUUUUCGUGUGCUAUAGCCUAUGCCUCCUGCACGGGCCCCAGAUAUCGGACCCGGAUCGCCUAAAAUAUUCUCGGCCCGACAAAAACAAUCUAAGAAUAAUAGUUACCGCCUCGCCAUUAGCGUUACUCGUUUUUGGGCGUUUUAGGGUCAUAAAACUGGAAUUCUGUCCGAUUCUCAAAUUUUCGUGUGCCUCCUGCGUGGGGCCGGGCAAACAAAUUAGGGUCGCCUAUAAUUUUUCCAGCCCAUCAAAACGACCGAAGGAACAAUAGUCACCGCCUCUCCAUAAUCGUUGUUCGGUUUUUUUGGUGUUUUAAAGCCAUAAAACUGGAAUUCUGCGUGAUUCCUAGAUUUUCAUGUGCUAUAGCCCACACCUUCUGCAUGUACCCAGGCACCAGGACCCGCAUUGCCUAAAAAUUUUGUCAGCCAUUAAAUAUGACCUAAGGAAUAAUAGUCACUGCCUCGCCAUUACCGUUACACAUUUUUUGACAUUUUAGGGCCAUAAAAUUGGAAUUCGCCUAAUUUUCAAAUUUUAAUGUGCCCAAGCCCAUGCCUCCUGCACAUGCACGGGUCCGGGAGCCCGAAUCUGGAUCACCUAAAAAUUUUCAGGCCCAUCAAAAAUGAUCUAAGGAACAAUGGUCACAGCCUCUCCAUGAUCAUUACUCGUUUUUUGGCGUUUUAGGGCUAUAAAACUAGAAUUUCCCCGAUUCCCAGAUUUUCGUGUGCUAUAUAGCCCACACCUCUUGCAUGGGCCCGGACGCCUGAACCUGGAUCGUCUAAAAAUUUUCUAGACCAUAAAAAAUGACUUAAGAAAAUAUAGUCACUGCCUCGCCAUGACUGUUACUCAUUUUUUGGCAUCUUAGGGCCAUAAAAUUGGAAUUCUGCUCAAUUUCUAGAUUUUCGUGUUCUAUAGCCUGCGCUUCCUGCAUGGGCCCAAACAAACGAGCCUGGAUCGCCUAAAAUUCGUCGGCCCAUAAAAAAUGACCUAAGGAGCAAUAGUCACCGCCUAGCCAUGAUCGUUACUCGUUUUUUUGGCAUUUUAGGACCAUAAAACUGGAAUUCAAACCGAUUCCCAAAUUUUCGUGUGCAAUAGCCUGCACCUCCUGCAUAGGGGCGCCCAAACCUGGAUCGCCUAAAUUGCAGGGCCAUCAAAAAUGAUCUAAUGAAUAAUAGGCACCGCCUAGGCAUGAUUGUUACUCGUUUUUUAGCGUUUAAGGGCCAAAAACUAGAAUUCGGGCCAAAAACUCCUAAUGUUGUGAAUUUCAUCUGCUUACCAGAUGGUUAUGUGACUGUACUGUGCUAAACAAUCAUACUCCACUUGUGAGAUUUUUCUGGUUUGUUGUUAUUAUUGUAUAAACAGAAAAUGUAAAUUAAAGAUCUUCUAAUGACAUGAUUAAUGUAAUCUAACCUAUUAUAGUAGUUUUAGUAUAAUAGGAUAGUUACAAUUUUUUUUCAGAUUACUAUUGAGAAUUCGUCAUAAAUAUUUACCUAUAAUUACCUUAUAAAUGACCUGAUUAUGUAAAUAUUUUUAUACCGUCAAUUUUAAGACUAACGGUCAGUUAUUAAAACUAGCUGCUCCACUUUCAAUAUCCUCCUACCAUCUAAAUUGGUAAUUUUCAUGUUUUUGGCCUUCUAGUAGAUUAUAUGAACUGUGUAAGCUUGUUCCUAAGGCAUGUAGUUAAGAAUUUUGCUCGUAAUAUCGCAAGUAGCUAGACCAUCAACACAUGAUUCGUAUGAGUACAAAAGUGUUCAUAAUAAUAUCAGAUCAUACAUCAAGCUGAUCAUCAACUCAUAUUUUUCCCCUUAAUUAUGACCACUUGGUCUUUUUAUAGAUCCACUUCAGAGGAUUACAAAUAUAGUACUAUUACUAUAUACUUGACUUUAAGUUGCUUUUUAGAGCAAUUAUUUAAGUUCUUGAUAUCAAGCAGAACAAUCCAUACAUAUUAACGUGAAAUGGACGUAGGUCGUUUCAAUUAGUAUGGACUUUCGCCUCUAUAAUUACCUGGAGGAUCAUAGUUGCAAGAGACAACAUAUCCUCCAUUGUUACACUGAACCCUAGCACAUCCAACACGAACCGAGUUACGCCAAACCACCUGAGUAUAGUGUCCACACACCUGUCCUUGUGCACAAGUAUUUGAGUCAUGGUCAUAAUACUGUUUCUCAUCGACCCACAUCUCAACGGCCUUAGCAGCCGUCAUGAAAUCGCCACUUCCCUCAGCUAGGUUUUCGCCGUAUUGACCAUGAGAAUGUACGAGGUUACAAUCUGCAGCCAAUUGGGAAGCAUAAUUUUGCGCAUAGGCUGCUACCUGGUCGUCCCAGGUCAAAGGUUCUACACCUACAUCUGCACGAGCUGUGUUAUGGGCAUCCAAAUAGUCUUGUUGAGAAUUUUGGGCACGGCAAGAGUGGGAUAUUACUAGGAAUAAGAGAAGUGUAGAGACAAGAAGAA